CGCCCCGCUCCGCUCCGGCCGGAGGCGCGGAUGCCCGAGGCUGCGGCUGCCCCGAGCCGCGGGCUGCGAGCUGGAGAAAGGCGACGGCGGCGCGCACGUGUGGUGUGAAGAAAGAGCCUUUAUCGCGGUGCUGAGGUUCGUGUUCGUGGUGCGCGGAAGCGCUUGGGCAGGGCGUGCUACGGGUAGCGGCGAGCGCGGUGCCCGGCGCCGCAGCCGACUGCUUACUGACACCUCGGGAUCUGUUUUACUCGUAAUGCUCCUUAAUGCUGCACGUGAUGGCGGAUUAUGGCUCUCUUAAGAGAGAUUUAAGCGGUCUCGCGAAGAUCAGCUGUGCUCAGGUUUAUUACUCGGCGGGGGGCAGCAGCCCGGGGCUGGGGGUGCGGAUGGGAAGUGCAAGUUAGCCGCUUGGUUGCGGUGCUUUUGUGGGUGUUCGGGAGCUGUCAGCCCUGUGGUAGCCCCGUUCCCGCUCAGCGUCCCGCACCGGUGUGCGCUCUGAGCUACCGGUGUGAGCUGCCCUGCUUGGAUCGCGUGCUUCCUGAGAAGCAGAGCGAACUGUAUCAUACCGAAAAGUGUUCUCAGCUUGUGGUUGUCUUAAUCUUUUCUGUUCAAAAUGAAAACAAAAGCCGCUUCAGAAUGGGAACGUCUCGACAGAUUUCGCACGGCUAAGGUUUGCGACAACGGAGCCGUACGCAGCUUUUUGUGUGGGCUGCUGUGCUCUGGGAGCUGAAGCGUGGCCGGAGCUGAGAUGUGCUGUCCCACAGCCGUGUGCACGGGGCAGCCAGGGGCUCCAGCUGUGUUUGCAGAGGAACCGUCCUGCAUCAGAUCCCUGAGAGACAGCGGUGCUCCUCUGGUGUGCUCAGCGGCUGUGUGCUCCAACGGCUGCCAGAAGGGCUCCCUGGGAGGGCACGCUGUUCUCCUGUGCCUCGAUGAAGGGGUGCUGGCCUUAAAACGCACCUGGCCAUAAGUACCAGCAUGGUGAGAUGCACGGGGACAGGCUGCUCUUCUUCAGUUCUGCUCUGCUUUUCCAUCCGAGGACUUUAUUGGAUGCUGUGGCGUUAACUAAUCGAGCUGCUUUUAACUUUUUUUCUUUGCUGUUCUGAUCAGAACUAUAUUUCAGCUUCCACUUUAAGCAAGGCAAAAAAGUAAGGCUCGGAGCCACACUGUGGGUGUGCAUGCCUGUCAGCCUGUCUGGCUGUACCGUUGUUAGCCUCCCCGAUACAGGCAGGACCAAAGUGCCUCUCCUGUGCAGAAACUUCUGACAUUACUAUGGGAAAAUCGUGGGCUCUGGAGCAGUGAGGUACUGGAGCAAAUUGCUGUCUCCAGGUGAGUGCUGGCUCCUGCCAGGUGCAGCCUGACUGUUCCCCUGGGUGAACUGUUUCACACCCCCCCGCUUCCUCGAAAAUGCACUGUUUCUAACUGUGCUGCUCAGUUCCGUAGAUGCAAACCGUACUGACUCAUAUUCUGAACUGUUGCAGCCUCGCUCCACGUAAACACAAGCACACUUCUAGAAUAUUUAAUUUGCAAUGUCCUCAGCGGAGAGCUACCCCACAGCUCCUGGCAGAAAUCCCAGAAGCAGCAGAUCUGGGGUGCUGGGAGUUGCAGAGGCCAUUGGUGCCUGGUGGGGUGGCUGUCUGAACUGGUUGAGUUGUAGUUUGUCCUGGCACCGGGACAGUUCAAACUGAACAGGUAUUUAAUCUUGCUGAAAGCAAGUCUGCUUUGAACAGUACUCGGUAUGUGUAUGAGCGAUUUAGAGCCUGUUGGGACAUGGCUGUCGAGAGAUCUACAUGGUAGGGAAAUCUCUGUUACUGAAAGUAACCUUUGGUGUAGCUGUACCUCCUAAUAAUUUUUAAGUAAUAUCUGUGUAGUUAUAAUAAAAUCAAGUAUAAAC
ensembl:lncRNA